AGGAUAAACGCUGGCGGCGUGCUUUAAGCAUGCAAGUCGAACGGAUGCUCGCAAGAGUAUGAGUGGCAGACGGCUGAGGAAGACGGAAGGAACCUACCCUUCAGAGGGGGAUAACUCCGCGAAAGCGGGGCUAAGACCGCGUACGCUCAUUCUGGGGAGAACGGAGUGAGGAAAACUGAAAGGUGCUGAGGGAGGGGCUUCCGGCCCAUCAGGUAGUUGGUGAGGUAACGGCCCACCAAGCCGAUGACGGGUCGCUGGUCUAAGAGGAUGAUCAGCCAGACUGGGACUGAGACACGGCCCAGACUCCUACGGGAGGCAGCAGCUAGGAAUCUUGCGCAAUGGGCGAAAGCCUGACGCAGCGACGCCGCGUGGGGAUGAAGGUUUUCGGAUUGUAAACCCCUUUUCGGUGGGACGAGAAUGGACGGUACCAUCGGAAGAGCCCGGCUAACUACGCGCCAGCAGCCGC
rnacentral:rRNA from 1 species